rnacentral:tRNA from 1 species
GCAGGUAUAGCUCAGUAGUAGAGUGCAUGCUUAGCAAGCUCAAGGUCCUGGGUUCAAUCUCCAGCACCUCCA